rnacentral:lncRNA from 10 species
GACCAUCCUGGCUAACACGGGUCUGAACGUAUGAUGCCAGUGACUGGAAGGAAACACUUAAGGGAUUCAGAGGUGACCUGGAUGUGCUUAGAGUUCUGCUGGUAACCAGGGCCUGCAAAUUAUGGUAUUACAUCUUGAUGAUUUCACUUUUCUGAACACCAGUAAUACUGAAGGAAAGAGCAUCUCCCUAUAGUUACACACAGAGCAUGAAGCCAAUGGUUUGCUCUUCUGACAAGAGAUUACAGAUAAGGAAAUGCUGGGUGAAGGACAUCCUUUACAGUGGCUCUGGAAGACCUGCCCCACAAUGGGAAUGGCCGUGUACUUUGAAUCAACUGCUUUGAUUAUGGCUGCAGCCUGCUUUCCAGACAUCAAUCUUGGGCCUGCUUCGGUUGUCUUCAGCUCUAAUUUCUGCCUGCAUAAUACCAAAGGGAAAUGCUAUAUUAUAAUCAUUCUUUUGAGUGAACAAGAUACUAAUUGCCAUUCUUUUGGCAAACAAGAUAGUAAUUUAUUCAAGUUGUAUAUAGCCAUGUCUUUCAAACUGUGAUAUCUCCAGAGGUAACUGAAAGCUCAUUAUGAAGUCUUUCUGGAGCAACAAUUAUAUUAAAAGAUUUGAAAAUUUAAGUUUGCAUUUUCAAAAUAUUAUUUCAACAGUAUACAGGGAAGAAAAAUUGCCUGGAUGAUGAAUAAGAUAUGCAAUGUCAGCUCUUUUGAAUUUAGCCCAGCUUUCUGAAAAUGAUAUCGUCAAUACAACCACGUGUUACUUAUUAACCAAGACAGCUAGAAAAUCUUAUUUUCCAAAAAUAGUCUCAACUCUAUUUUUGUCUGACAUGCUCUUCCAGAACCUGUCUGUCAUCAAAAGGUAGGGUCUACAUCCCUCUCCUUGAACCUGGGUAGGACUCUGUGACUGCCUCAACUAAUAGAGGAGACUGAAAGUAACACUGUGUGAUCUCUAAGGCUAUGUCUUAAAAGAGAAUUCAGCUUUUCUCUGGCACACUAUCAGUACAUGUGCUUCGGAGCCUUGAGCUACUACAUAAGAAGUCUGACAUGAAGCUGCAGUGCUGAGAGGCGACAGGGAAAUAAAGAUAGUUGCAUGAGGAGCCUCAGAUGUUUGAGUCUUUCCAGCCCAUGCACCAGAUACAUGGGGGAACCACCUUUGAAUAGUUUGACUGUCUGAAACUACAUAAUAGAUGCCUAGCAAGGCCAAGGCAAGCCUGUAAAUUAUGACAGAGAACAGUACAGUGAUUGUUGCAUUUUAUACCACUAAAUCUGGGGUUGUUACAUAGCAAUGGAAAUCUCAUAGGCCUGAUAAGUUAUUUAAAAUAUUUAUUUUAUAUGAAAAUAUAAUAAAACACUAUAGAUAUACCAGUAGUAUAUGAAGUAGAAUGCAAAAUUCUAUUCCAGAUGAGACUUCUAUAAAAUUUCAAGCAUUUUAAUCAGGCAUUUUUACUACUAUUUUGCAUCUAUUUGGUGCUAAUAUUACAGCUACUCCAGAGAAAUUUUUUGAGAAGCAAUGGCAUAAGGUAUAACACAUUCACUGCUAGAAAACAUUGUUUUCUGAAUUAAAAUCUGAAAAUAACAGAAACUCUAAGAUUUAACAUUCUAGUUCUUAAUCCUGUUAGAACAAUUCUGUCCAGAGAAUGGUCUUCAAAUGAUAAACAGGCCUAAAUAUUUAAGUUGCAUAAGUCAUAUCAAAAAUUUUGUCACAUCUCUUCACUAC